rfam:TPA: Bos taurus chromosome 4, whole genome shotgun sequence.
UUCUGGUGGCUCAGACGGUAAAGCAUCUGCCUGCCAUGCAGGAGACCCGGGUUCGAUCCCUGGGUCAGGAA